rnacentral:rRNA from 1 species
AGAGUUUGAUCAUGGCUCAGAUUGAACGCUGGCGGCAUGCUUUACACAUGCAAGUCGAACGGUAACGCGGGGGCAACCCUGGCGACGAGUGGCGAACGGGUGAGUAAUACAUCGGAACAUAUCCAGUAGCGGGGGAUAACCUAUCGAAAGAUGGACUAAUACCGCAUACGAUCUACGGAUGAAAGCAGGGGACCGCAAGGCCUUGCACUAUUGGAGUGGCCGAUGUCGGAUUAGCUAGUUGGUGAGGUAAAGGCUUACCAAGGCGACGAUCCGUAGCUGGUCUGAGAGGACGAUCAGCCACACUGGAACUGAGACACGGUCCAGACUCCUACGGGAGGCAGCAGUGGGGAAUUUUGGACAAUGGGCGCAAGCCUGAUUCAGCCAUGCCGCGUGAGUGAAGAAGGCCUUCGGGUUGUAAAGCUCUUUCGGUGAAGACGAAACGGUUCGUGCUAAUAACGCGGACUAAUGACGGUACUCACAGAAGAAGCACCGGCUAACUACGUGCCAGCAGCCGCGGUAAUACGUAGGGUGCAGGCGUUAAUCGGAAUUACUGGGCGUAAAGCGUGCGCAGGCGGUUUGCUAAGACAGGUGUGAAAUCCCCGGGCUUGACCUGGGAAUUGCGCUUGUAACUGGCAAGCUAGAGUGUGGCAGAGGGGGGUGGAAUUCCACGUGUAGCAGUGAAAUGCGUAGAUAUGUGGAGGAACACCGAUGGCGAAGGCAGCCCCCUGGGUUAACACUGACGCUCAUGCACGAAAGCGUGGGGAGCAAACAGGAUUAGAUACCCUGGUAGUCCACGCCCUAAACUAUGUCAACUAGUUGUCGGGGAAGAAAUUCCUUGGUAACGAAGCUAACGCGUGAAGUUGACCGCCUGGGGAGUACGGCCGCAAGGUUAAAACUCAAAGGAAUUGACGGGGACCCGUACAAGCGGUGGAUUAUGUGGAUUAAUUCGAUGCAACGCGAAAAACCUUACCUACCCUUGACAUGCUAGGAAGCCCGCAGAGAUGUGGGUGUGCCCGAAAGGAACCUAGACACAGGUGCUGCAUGGCUGUCGUCAGCUCGUGUCGUGAGAUGUUGGGUUAAGUCCCGCAACGAGCGCAACCCUUGCCAUUAGUUGCUACAUUCAGUUGGGCACUCUAAUGGGACCGCCGGUGACAAACCGGAGGAAGGUGGGGAUGACGUCAAGUCCUCAUGGCCCUUAUGGGUAGGGCUUCACACGUAAUACAAUGGUCGGUACAGAGGGCUGCCAACCCGCAAGGGGGAGCUAAUCCCAGAAAGCCGAUCGUAGUCCGGAUUGUAGUCUGCAACUCGACUGCAUGAAGCCGGAAUCGCUAGUAAUCGCGGAUCAGCAUGUCGCGGUGAAUACGUUCCCGGGUCUUGUACACACCGCCCGUCACACCAUGGGAGUGGGUUCCACCAGAAGUAGUUAGCCUAACCGCAAGGAGGGCGAUUACCACGGUGAGAUUCAUGACUGGGGUGAAGUCGUAACAAGGUA